rnacentral:rRNA from 1 species
UACGAAGGGGGCUAGCGUUGUUCGGAAUCACUGGGCGUAAAGGGCGCGUAGGCGGCUAUGUAAGUCGGGGGUGAAAGCCUGUGGCUCAACCACAGAAUUGCCUUCGAUACUGCAUGGCUUGAGACCGGAAGAGGUCAGCGGAACUGCGAGUGUAGAGGUGAAAUUCGUAGAUAUUCGCAAGAACACCAGUGGCGAAGGCGGCUGACUGGUCCGGAUCUGACGCUGAGGCGCGAAAGCGGGGGGAGCGGAACGGG